rnacentral:rRNA from 1 species
GACGAACGCUGGCGGCGUGCUUAACACAUGCAAGUCGAGCGGUAAGGCCCUUUCGGGGGUACGACGAGCGGCGAACGGGUGAGUAACACGUGGGUGACCUGCCCUCAGCUCUGGGAUAAGCCUGGGAAACCGGGUCUAAUACUGGAUAUGACUCCAUGACGCAUGUUGUGGGGUGGGAAGCCUUGUGCGGCUGAGGAUGGGCCCGCGGCCUAUCAGCUUGUUGGUGGGGUGAUGGCCUACCAAGGCGACGACGGGUAGCCGGCCUGAGAGGGCGACCGGCCACACUGGGACUGAGACACGGCCCAGACUCCUACGGGAGGCAGCAGUGGGGAAUCUUGCGCAAUGGGCGAAAGCCUGACGCAGCGACGCCGCGUGAGGGAUGACGGCCUGGUGUAAC